rnacentral:rRNA from 1 species
AUAGUUUGAUCCUGGGUCAGAACGAACGCUGGCGGCAGGCCUAACACAUGCAAGUCGAACGCUGUAGCAUUACAGAGUGGCAGACGGGUGAGUAACGCGUGGGAACCUUCCCAGUGGUGCGGAAUAGCUCAGGGAAACUUGAGGUAAUACCGCAUAAGCCCUUAGGGGGAAAGAUUUAUCGCCAUUGGAUGGGCCCGCGUCGGAUUAGCUAGUUGGUGAGGUAACGGCUCACCAAGGCGACGAUCCGUAGCUGGUUUGAGAGAAUAACCAGCCACACUGGGACUGAGACGCGGCCCAGACUCCUACGGGAGGCAGCAGUGGGGAAUCUUGGACAAUGGGCGAAAGCCUGAUCCAGCCAUGCCGCGUGAGUGACGAAGGCCUUAUGGUUGUAAAGCUCUUUUGGAGGGGACGAUAAUGACGGUACCCGCAGAAUAAGUCCCGGUUAACUUCGUGCCAGCACCCGCGGUAAUACGAAGGGGACUAGCGUUGUUCGGAAUUACUGGGCGUAAAGCGCACGUAUGCGGAUUUGUAAGUCAGGGGUGAAAUCCCGGGGCUCAACCUCGGAACUGCCUCUGAUACUGCAAAUCUCGAGUCCGAUAGAGGUGGGUGGAAUUCCUAGUGUAGAGGUGAAAUUCGUAGAUAUUAGGAAGAACACCGGUGGCGAAGGCGGCCCACUGGAUCGGUACUGACGCUGAGGUGCGAAAGCGUGGGGAGCAAACAGGAGUAGAUACCCUGGUAGUCCACGCCGUAAACGAUGGAUGCUAGCCGUCGGCAAGCUUGCUUGUCGGUGGCGCAGCUAACGCAUUAAGCAUCCCGCCUGGGGAGUACGGCCGCAAGGUUAAAACUCAGAGGAAUUGACGG